CCUCUGUUACAACAUAGAGUUUUAGUUGUCACCCAGGGCCGGAUGCUGUAGCUGCAGCUGAUCUAUUAGUCGCACAUUACAAGACUAGUAAAACCUUUUCACAGAUACAAAUUACAACUAUAUGAUCAUUUAUUUUUGUUGUCAUCAUGAUCCUUGUGGUCUUCUUAGUCUGCUCUCUAUAUCUGCCAUGGACCAGGGGUUCCUCUGCACAUAAAGUUCACCAGUCUCCGUCUGCUCUUAUCAAGGACCACGGAAGCUCUGUUGAUCAGGAGAUCAACUGUUCACACUCUAUCGCCAACUAUGAUCGCAUGCUCUGGUACAAACAAGACAUAAACAGGACUCUCAAACUACUAGGAUAUCUCAAUCUGAAUUUUGCCUAUUCAGAAGAAUAUGUGAAAGGGAAGAUCCGUAUCCAGGGGGAUGGCCGUAGUUAUGGAAACUUCUCUGUCUCUGGUCUGAAGCAGGAAGACAGUGCUGUUUAUUUCUGUGCAGUAUUACCACAGUGCUGUAGACUCCCUACUACCUCUACAAAAACCUUCCUCUGUCUGGGCCCCCUCUCUCUCUCUCUGCACACCUGUAGAUAACGUCUAGGGCAAGAGAGAGACAUCAUCUCAGCGGGCGCUAUCGACAAAUAUCAAUGGGACAAUGGACUACUUUCUGCACACGGUCGGUGUGAACCGGAGUGACUUGACACAUCGGGCCAAACAAGCAGUAGCUACAAACUAAACGGAAACGACACAGGACAUCGUACUUAGUUAGAGUGGUUCCAGUCUGCCGUGAAGCAUCCAUCCAUGUAU